UACGGGGGGGGUAAGCGUUGUUCGGAAUUACUGGGCGUAAAGGGCUCGUAGGCGGCCAACUAAGUCAUACGUGAAAUCCCUCAGCUUAACUGGGGAACUGCGUGUGAUACUGGAUGGCUUGGAUUUGGGAGAGGGAUGCGGAAUUCCAGGUGUAGCGGUGAAAUGCGUAGAUAUCUGGAGGAACACCGGUGGCGAAGGCGGCUUCCUGGACCGAUUACUGACGCUGAGGCGCGAAAGCUAGGGGAGCAAACGGG
rnacentral:rRNA from 1 species